rnacentral:rRNA from 1 species
GAAGCGGGAAGAGCUCAAGCUGAGAAUCUUCGGAAUUGUAGUCUAUAGGUGCGAACUCGUGCGGGGCCGGGUAUAAAUCCGUUCCUGGAACUGGGUGCCAGAGAGGGUUAGAGCCCCGUCUUUGACUCGGUCUCCCGCGCGUGGCGAGUUCUCUCCAGAGAGUCGGCUUGCUUGGGAAUGCAGGUCUAAUUGGGUGGUAAACUUCAUCUAAAGCUAAAUAUUGGCGAGAGACCGAUAGCGAACAAGUACUGUGAAGGAAAGAUGGAAAGAACUUUGAAAAGAGAGUGAAAAAGGGCUUGAAGUUGUUAAGGGGAGAAGUGGUUGGAGCAUAUCAUACGCGUGUGGGUCCCAGGGCCGGGACUUGUCCUGGCUUGUACCAUCCGCACGUGUUGGUCAGCAUCGGUUUUUGCUGGGGGAGAAUGCGGGCGUUGUUGAUCCUCUCGGGGAGAUCGGCGCCUGUGAAACCCGGGCGGAGACCGAGGCACCAAGGGCGCGCUUAGCGGCCGGCCUCCUGUGCGCGUAUUCGCUUGUGGUACACCCUCCGGGCGUGUGCUGCUUUCGGGUGCGUGACGCGGGGGAGCGCUGGACCUGCGCCCUGAAGAUGCUGGCACAAAUGGCUUCAACCAGCCCGUCUUGAAACACGGACCAAGGAGUCUAACACAUAUGCGAGUAGUAAGGUGGCAAACCUUGGAUGCGCAAUGAAAGUAACGUGGGUGGGAUCCGCAAGGUGCACCAUCGACCGACCAGGAUCUUCUGUGAAAGGUUUGAGUAAGAGCAUAUUUGUUGGGACCCGAAAGAUGGUGAACUAUGCCUGAAUAGGGUGAAGCCGGAGGAAACUCCGGUGGAGGCUCGUAGCGGUACUGACGUGCAAAUCGUUCGUCAAAUUUGGGUAUAGGGGCGAAAGACUAAUCGAACCAUCUAGUAGCUG